rnacentral:lncRNA from 1 species
AUUUAGCUAUGCUCUCUAAAAGCCCCACAAUAUUUUAUAUUAUGUUCAUAUCAAUAACUUAGCUUUCUUCUCAUUUAGAAUAACCUGUUGAACGUUUGCACCAAAAAGGAGGCUGAAGAAACAGUGAAUUCUGAGAUACUUGAGUUGACUGAGAAACUGAAAAGUCUGUUUGAAGAAGAACUGGAGCAUAUGGAUAGAGACUUUGAGGAGCUGGCUAAACACAAUGAGCAGAAUUGUAGAGAUUUGUGCAGCUAUUUUCAGGAGGCCAUGGAUCUCUGGGAUGUCCAUCAACUCAAACUGUCCCAGCAGAAGGGUGAACUUCAGAAGAAAUUAGAUGAAUGCAGACGGAAACAGGAUAACUUAAUGCAGAUGAUGGAAGAUAAUCUGGAUAAAAUUUUGGAUGAAAUGAGAACAGCGAGCUCUGAAGAAAAUCUGAAUCAAUACUUGAAGAAUGCACUUUGUUUUUUAAAUGACAUUAGAGCUAGGUAUGAGUUUUGUAGUGCAAAGUUAACAAAUAAAGCAUAUUUGAAUGUUGGUUGUAGUACUUAAGUCUUUUUUAUGCCGUAGUGUAAAGGUGUGGAAAAACACUGCUUG